GACGAACGCUGGCGGCGUGCCUAAUACAUGCAAGUAGAACGAGUUGCGAACGGGUGAGUAAUGACUGGGUAACUGCCUGAUGGAGGGGGAUAACUACUGGAAACGGUUGCUAAUAACGCAUACCAUCAGAUGUGUCCAGAUGGGAUUAGCUUGUUGGUGGGGUAACGGCUCACCAAGGCGACGAUCCCUAGCUGGUCUGAGAGGAUGACCAGCCACCCUGGAACUGAGACACGGUCCAAGCUCACAGGGAAGGCAGCGGUAGGGAAUAUUGAACAAGGUGCGCAGGCCAGAGAAAGACAUGCCACGUGUAUGAAGAAGGCAUUCGGGUUGUAAGAUAAUGUCAGUGGGGAGGCGUUACCCACAGAAGAAGCGCCGGAUAACUACGUGCCAGCAGCCGCGGUAAUAC
rnacentral:rRNA from 1 species